GGGGGUGAAAGGCCAAUCAAACCGGGAGAUAGCUGGUUCUCCCCGAAAGCUAUUUAGGUAGCGCCUCGUGAAUUCAUCUCCGGGGGUAGAGCACUGUUUCGGCAAGGGGGUCAUCCCGACUUACCAACCCGAUGCAAACUGCGAAUACCGGAGAAUGUUAUCACGGGAGACACACGGCGGGUGCUAACGUCCGUCGUGAAGAGGGAAACAACCCAGACCGCCAGCUAAGGUCCCAAAGUCAUGGUUAAGUGGGAAACGAUGUGGGAAGGCCCAGACAGCCAGGAUGUUGGCUUAGAAGCAGCCAUCAUUUAAAGAAAGCGUAAUAGCUCACUGGUCGAGUCGGCCUGCGCGGAAGAUGUAACGGGGCUAAACCAUGCACCGAAGCUGCGGCAGCGACGCUUAUGCGUUGUUGGGUAGGGGAGCGUUCUGUAAGCCUGUGAAGGUGUGCUGUGAGGCAUGCUGGAGGUAUCAGAAGUGCGAAUGCUGACAUAAGUAACGAUAAAGCGGGUGAAAAGCCCGCUCGCCGGAAGACCAAGGGUUCCUGUCCAACGUUAAUCGGGGCAGGGUGAGUCGACCCCUAAGGCGAGGCCGAAAGGCGUAGUCGAUGGGAAACAGGUUAAUAUUCCUGUACUUGGUGUUACUGCGAAGGGGGGACGGAGAAGGCUAUGUUGGCCGGGCGACGGUUGUCCCGGUUUAAGCGUGUAGGCUGGUUUUCCAGGCAAAUCCGGAAAACCAAGGCUGAGGCGUGAUGACGAGGCACUACGGUGCUGAAGCGACAAAUGCCCUGCUUCCAGGAAAAGCCUCUAAGCAUCAGGUAACAUCAAAUCGUACCCCAAACCGACACAGGUGGUCAGGUAGAGAAUACCAAGGCGCUUGAGAGAACUCGGGUGAAGGAACUAGGCAAAAUGGUGCCGUAACUUCGGGAGAAGGCACGCUGAUAUGUAGGUGAAGCGACUUGCUCGUGGAGCUGAAAUCAGUCGAAGAUACCAGCUGGCUGCAACUGUUUAUUAAAAACACAGCACUGUGCAAACACGAAAGUGGACGUAUACGGUGUGACGCCUGCCCGGUGCCGGAAGGUUAAUUGAUGGGGUUAGCGGCAACGCGAAGCUCUUGAUCGAAGCCCCGGUAAACGGCGGCCGUAACUAUAACGGUCCUAAGGUAGCGAAAUUCCUUGUCGGGUAAGUUCCGACCUGCACGAAUGGCGUAAUGAUGGCCAGGCUGUCUCCACCCGAGACUCAGUGAAAUUGAACUCGCUGUGAAGAUGCAGUGUACCCGCGGCAAGACGGAAAGACCCCGUGAACCUUUACUAUAGCUUGACACUGAACAUUGAGCCUUGAUGUGUAGGAUAGGUGGGAGGCUUUGAAGUGUGGACGCCAGUCUGCAUGGAGCCGACCUUGAAAUACCACCCUUUAAUGUUUGAUGUUCUAACGUUGGCCCGUAAUCCGGGUUGCGGACAGUGUCUGGUGGGUAGUUUGACUGGGGCGGUCUCCUCCUAAAGAGUAACGGAGGAGCACGAAGGUUGGCUAAUCCUGGUCGGACAUCAGGAGGUUAGUGCAAUGGCAUAAGCCAGCUUGACUGCGAGCGUGACGGCGCGAGCAGGUGCGAAAGCAGGUCAUAGUGAUCCGGUGGUUCUGAAUGGAAGGGCCAUCGCUCAACGGAUAAAAGGUACUCCGGGGAUAACAGGCUGAUACCGCCCAAGAGUUCAUAUCGACGGCGGUGUUUGGCACCUCGAUGUCGGCUCAUCACAUCCUGGGGCUGAAGUAGGUCCCAAGGGUAUGGCUGUUCGCCAUUUAAAGUGGUACGCGAGCUGGGUUUAGAACGUCGUGAGACAGUUCGGUCCCUAUCUGCCGUGGGCGCUGGAGAACUGAGGGGGGCUGCUCCUAGUACGAGAGGACCGGAGUGGACGCAUCACUGGUGUUCGGGUUGUCAUGCCAAUGGCA
rnacentral:rRNA from 1 species